rnacentral:sRNA from 1 species
AGUGCAUGUUUCACUCGAUUAGGGAGAGAGCGCACCCUCUCCAGAGGGCUUUGGCCACGCUUAAUUUUUUCUUUGUUUCCUUCUAUACUGCUUUAUAUCUCACACAUCCCCUCUUAACUCUCCAGACAUGGGAAGUUGUUGUGACAGUAUGUUUUAGCUGUUGGGAGCUCUGUGUUCCAUGCGAUGUUUUACGGAGAACUUGCAGAGGACAAAGAUGAAAUCCGUAUACCAGAUGUCGAACCUGCUGCUUUUCUCGCUAUGCUGAAAUAUAUCUAUUGUGAUGAAAUUGACUUGGCUGCUGACACAGUGCUGGCCACACUUUAUGCUGCCAAAAAGUACAUUGUCCCUCACCUUGCCAGAGCCUGUGUUAAUUUCCUGGAGACCAGCCUGAGUGCCAAGAAUGCCUGUGUGCUCCUCUCCCAGAGCUGCCUGUUCGAGGAGCCAGACCUGACCCAGCGUUGCUGGGAGGUGAUUGAUGCCCAGGCUGAGUUAGCUCUCAAGUCUGAGGGAUUCUGCGAUAUUGACUUCCAGACACUAGAAAGUAUUCUCCGUAGGGAAACUCUGAAUGCCAAAGAAAUUGUGGUUUUUGAGGCAGCUCUCAACUGGGCUGAAGUAGAAUGCCAACGACAAGAUCUGGCGUUGAGCAUUGAAAAUAAACGCAAGGUUCU